AGCAGCCGCGGUAAUUCCAGCUCCAAUAGCGUAUAUUAAAGUUGUUGCAGUUAAAAAGCUCGUAGUUGAAUUUCGGGAUCAGUAGGUCGGUCAUGCCUCAGGUAUGUACUGGUCUCACUGGUUCCUCCUUCCUGAUGAACCGUAAUGCCAUUAAUUUGGUGUUGCGGGGAAACUGGACUGUUACUUUGAAAAAUUAGAGUGUUUAAAGCAGGCUAACGCUUGAAUACAUUAGCAUGGAAUAAUGAAAUAGGACGUUCGAUCCUAUUUUGUUGGUUUCUAGGAUUGACGUAAUGAUUAAUAGGGAUAGUUGGGGGCAUUAGUAUUCAAUUGUCAGAGGUGAAAUUCUUGGAUUUAUUGAAGACUAACUACUGCGAAAGCAUUUGCCAAGGAUGUUUUCAUUAAUCAAGAACGAAAGUUAGGGGAUCGAAGACGAUCAGAUACCGUCGUAGUCUUAACCAUAAACUAUGCCGACUAGGGAUCGGAUGAUGUUAUUUUUAAUGACUCAUUCGGCGCCUUAAC
rnacentral:rRNA from 1 species